rnacentral:rRNA from 1 species
AUUGAACGCUGGCAGCAGGCCUAACACAUGCAAGUCGAGCGGAUGAAGGGAGCUUGCUCCUGGAUUCAGCGGCGGACGGGUGAGUAAUGCCUAGGAAUCUGCCUGGUAGUGGGGGAUAACGUCCGGAAACGGGCGCUAAUACCGCAUACGUCCUGAGGGAGAAAGUGGGGGAUCUUCGGACCUCACGCUACCAGAUGAGCCUAGGUCGGAUUAGCUAGUUGGUGGGGUAAAGGCCUACCAAGGCGACGAUCCGUAACUGGUCUGAGAGGAUGAUCAGUCACACUGGAACUGAGACACGGUCCAGACUCCUACGGGAGGCAGCAGUGGGGAAUAUUGGACAAUGGGCGAAAGCCUGAUCCAGCCAUGCCGCGUGUGUGAAGAAGGUCUUCGGAUUGUAAAGCACUUUAAGUUGGGAGGAAGGGCAGUAAGUUAAUACCUUGCUGUUUUGACGUUACCAACAGAAUAAGCACCGGCUAACUUCGUG